rnacentral:rRNA from 1 species
UUAUGAAUAAGGAUCGGCUAACUCCGUGCCAGCAGCCGCGGUAAUACGGAGGAUCCGAGCGUUAUCCGGAUUUAUUGGGUUUAAAGGGAGCGUAGAUGGAUGUUUAAGUCAGUUGUGAAAGUUUGCGGCUCAACCGUAAAAUUGCAGUUGAUACUGGAUAUCUUGAGUGCAGUUGAGGCAGGCGGAAUUCGUGGUGUAGCGGUGAAAUGCUUAGAUAUCACGAAGAACUCCGAUUGCGAAGGCAGCCUGCUAAGCUGCAACUGACAUUGAGGCUCGAAAGUGUGGGUAUCAAACAGGAUUAGAUACCCUGGUAGUCCACACGGUAAACGAUGAAUACUCGCUGUUUGCGAUAUACUGCAAGCGGCCAAGCGAAAGCGUUAAGUAUUCCACCUGGGGAGUACGCCGGCAACGGUGAAACUCAAAGGAAUUGACGGGGGCCCGCACAAGCGGAGGAACAUGUGGUUUAAUUCGAUGAUACGCGAGGAACCUUACCCGGGCUUAAAUUGCAGAUGAAUUACGGUGAAAGCCGUAAGCCGCAAGGCAUCUGUGAAGGUGCUGCAUGGUUGUCGUCAGCUCGUGCCGUGAGGUGUCGGCUUAAGUGCCAUAACGAGCGCAACCCUUGUUGUCAGUUACUAACAGGUUCCGCUGAGGACUCUGACAAGACUGCCAUCGUAAGAUGUGAGGAAGGUGGGGAUGACGUCAAAUCAGCACGGCCCUUACGUCCGGGGCUACACACGUGUUACAAUGGGGGGUACAGAAGGCAGCUACCUGGCGACAGGAUGCUAAUCCCAAAAACCUCUCUCAGUUCGGAUCGAAGUCUGCAACCCGACUUCGUGAAGCUGGAUUCGCUAGUAAUCGCGCAUCAGCCACGGCGCGGUGAAUACGUUCCCGGGCCUUGUACACACCGCCCGUCAAGCCAUGGGAGCCGGGGGUACCUGAAGUGCGUAACCGCGAGGAGCGCCCUAGGGUAAAACUGGUGACUGGGGCUAAGUCGUAACAAGGUAGCCGUACCGGAAGGUGCGGCUG